GCCUUCGUGGUGUAGUGGUCAGCACACUCGGCGCGUAUUCGAGAGGUCAGUGGUUCGAGUCACGGCGAGGGCA
rfam:Stegodyphus mimosarum contig112442, whole genome shotgun sequence.